AGUGAACGCUGGCGGCAGGCCUAACACAUGCAAGUCGAGCGGCAGCGGGUCCUUCGGGAUGCCGGCGAGCGGCGGACGGGUGAGGAAUACAUCGGAAUCUGCCCUGUCGUGGGGGAUAACCUAGGGAAACUUAGGCUAAUACCGCAUACGACCUACGGGUGAAAGCGGGGGAUCGCAAGACCUCGCGCGACAGGAUGAGCCGAUGUCCGAUUAGCUAGUUGGCGGGGUAAAGGCCCACCAAGGCGACGAUCGGUAGCUGGUCUGAGAGGAUGAUCAGCCACACUGGGACUGAGACACGGCCCAGACUCCUACGGGAGGCAGCAGUGGGGAAUAUUGGACAAUGGGCGCAAGCCUGAUCCAGCCAUGCCGCGUGGGUGAAGAAGGCCUUCGGGUUGUAAAGCCCUUUUGUCCGGGAAGAAAUCGUCUGGGCUAAUACCCCGGGCGGAUGACGGUACCGGAAGAAUAAGCACCGGCUAGCUUCGUG
rnacentral:rRNA from 1 species